rnacentral:misc_RNA from 1 species
UUCUUCUUCUUCUUUUUUUUUCUCUUUUAUUUUUUAAUCAUUUUUUUCUUUCUCAUUUAUUUUCUUCAUCAUAUGUUUCUUUAUUAUCUUUGUUCUUCUUCAUUAUUUUUUUCUUUCUCAUUUUUUAUUUAAUUUAUUUUUCUUUUGCAUAAAAUAAAAAUUUUUGCACAAAUAUAUUUUUUGUAAGUAAAUUAUUGGUAAUAUUAAUUUUUAGCAAUUUUUUUUAUUAUAAUAUAUAUAUAGUAAUUUGUCCUAUAAAUAUGUUUUUAUAUUUAAUUUUUUGUUAAUAUUUUUUAUAAUAGUUAUUAUUAGUAAUUUUUUAUAAUAUUUU